rnacentral:rRNA from 1 species
UACGUAGGGCGCAAGCGUUGUCCGGAUUUAUUGGGCGUAAAGAGCUCGUAGGCGGUUCGGUAAGUCGGGUGUGAAAACUCUGGGCUCAACCCAGAGCCGCCACCCGAUACUGCUGUGACUUGAGUUCGGUAGGGGAGCGGGGAAUUCCUGGUGUAGCGGUGAAAUGCGCAGAUAUCAGGAGGAACACCAGUGGCGAAGGCGCCGCUCUGGGCCGACACUGACGCUGAGGAGCGAAAGCGUGGGUAGCAAACAGG